UCUUUCUCUCUAAACGUCUUCUGCUCUCCCCUCAACCCUAAACUCUCCUACUCUUUCACUUCUCAUCCUCGAAAUUUCUAGAUCUACUCCAGGCUUGAAGAUUCUGCCUCAAUUUCAAGAAAUACGACAAAAUGCAAACGAAAUUUAAAGACUUUGAGGUUGUUCAACGAGUGCAAUGGAGGAUGUGCAGCAGCUACAAAUUUGCAAAUAGAGAGAAGGCUAGAGCUGCAAACUUAACCCCUCUGUCUCCGGAUUUACUCAAGGCUUUACGUGUUUGGAUACCAAAUUUAUAGUCCGUUUCAAUUACAGAAAUUUUAGGUCAUUGCCGCCUUUGGAGCUGCUAAACACGAGGAUGUUGUAGCACUUGUAGAACUAUAUUUUACAACAUUGUCAACAUAUCCAACAACUGCUCAAUUAAUUUUCCAUGAACCAGCUUCAUUCACUGGUCCAGAGGUAUCUAUAUAUAUAUAUAUAGUUUGUUGGUACUUUAUGUUUGAAAUAGUAUUUAACUUCCCCCUUAACAUAGUUUUUAUGUAAGCAUGUCUGUGUUUUUGUAUGAGAUCAGGUUAGAAUGAUUGAUGAUGAUAUUGAGUUGGCCCAAUUUACUGUUGACUUCAAUGGAGCAUCAGACACACAUCCGCAUGAUGUCGCCUUGAAUCGCAUUUUUUUAUUUAUUACUAUCACACCGUCAUUGCCGCAACUUUUCAUCAGAUAUGAGCUCGUUGAAUUGCAUUUUGUUAUAUUCCAGAUUGACGGUAAGUCAUUCUCCAUGGCUACCAGAAAUGCCUGCCAACUAUGGCCAAGCGUUUCAAGAUCAAAUAGUAUGUGAUGAACGGCGCCUAUGCGUAUUUUGUAAUUGAAGUUUAAUAGCAUGUAGUCAUAGGGAAUGCCUUCAUUUCUUAAUCGAUUUUAUUAAAAUUCACUAAUAAAUUAGAGUCGUUUUACUUUUAAAACCAUCAGUUAAAAGAUUUUGUUGAUGAUAAAGUAAGGGCGUUAGACUUUUGAAUUAGUCCUUUCUGAUGUGGAGCUGUGUAAUUGUCUAAGAACGACUCUUGUUUUAUUAUUAAAUCUGUGGUUUGUGGUGGAUUAUAUACUUGGAAUUUUUGACAUAGGGAUGGAUGCCUCUAAAAUAUAGGAUGGAAUUUAGGGUCUCUGUUACAGAUUAAAAUUCUUUUAGGUCUGAUGCUAUAUUGUAUUGAUAUUGUUAAUCUAUUUGUAGGGAUUGGAUUAUUCUACUUAUUCUUUUGAGACUAAUUUACAGUACUAGUUAAUUUAUGAAAUCAGAGGAUCACUUACCAAGUGAUUUUAGUUUCAAGGCUAAUACUGGAGAAGUUUAAAUUUUGAUUUCUUUUUUGUUGUUGUUUUGUUUUGAUAAACUGAAUCAGGUUUAUGCCAAUGUCUAUGGUUUGUAUCCGUAAAUUCAUGUGAUCUUGAACCUAGUUAAACUGAUGAGUAGCGACAAGAAGUUUUGUAUCCGAUAACAAUUCUUUUACCUUGAUAACAGGAUCUGGUUUGAAAUUAUUUUAUGAGUUUUGGUUGUACUGGGAGACGGUAUUUUAGUGAUGAUAGUUAUGUGCCAUUGGAGGUGGCUAGAAAGACCAAACAAAUAGUUGACAUGUUAAUGAAGAUGCCUAAUCAUCAACCUUAAUAACUUUAUGUUCUAGGAUGUAUUUUGUGGCUUAUGUUUUGGAAUUAUAUGCUUUUGAGGACUCAUUUUCUUGUGGGAUUGUUGGUGGAAGAAGAAGAAACUUCCGAAAGUCAUAUCCUCUAUAUCAGUCAGGCUUAGGACAGAGGUAUAAUCACUGCAUAAUUGCUAUGUGUUAGUUGUUAUUGAAUUCCUAAAUCAAAGUAUUUAAUGUGAAGAUUUCUAGGCAAUGAUUUUGGUUUUAAAUGGAUUACGAAGAGGAAUCAUUUUGUGAAGAAGCUUUCUUAUGUUUUAUGAAAUUUUAGCUAUAAUUCCUUUCUGCAUACUUUUAUAUUUGGUGUUAUGUAUAUUGAAAAGACUAGUAUUUCGGGUGUGUAUCGUGAGGAGAGGAGGAAGUUUCAUCAUCCUUUUUAUGUUUCCUGAAUUAAUUAGCAUUUGUAGUAUUUUAUUCGUUCCUGGAUUGAUAUUCGGUGAUGAUCUAGGAAAUUUUUGUGGUAAUUUGGCGGGGUGUUCCUUCCAUUCAUCCGCUGGUUAUAACGAGUAUUUUUUAUGUGUUGAUGUGAAUCCAAUAUUAAUUAAUUAGUUGAUUCAAUUUUUCUAUGCAGGAUGUGUGUGCGGUUUUGUCUUCUAAACACAUUUAUUUUUGUUGUUGCUGUAGUAAUUCUUCGAUGUGGAGGCUAAGCUAUUUGAGUCAUUCAACUCAUCCUGCAGUGACUCUAGUUGAGAUUCUCCAUACAAGUGUGUGGUUCUCUUAAGUGGUUGUAGAGUAUUAACACAUAAUGUAUAGCUUCCUAUCUGGUUGUUGAGUGUAGACUGAUACUUUAGUUUUUUGAAUAGAUCGUGUUAUAGAUUUGGUUUCAUUCUUUUUUUCACUAAUUUAACUUGACUUCCCCCCCCCCCCCCACCCCAAGGUUUAUCAUGUGAGAUGGAGGAUAUUCGGCAGCUCCAGAUCUACAGAUAGAGAGAAGGCUAGAAGCUGCAAACUUGGAUGCUUUAAUGUCAAUUAUGUAACUUAAUUAUAUGCCUUUGUAAUUAAUUGUAUUAGUAAUUUAAGGGAAUCAAAUGUUGCAAGUUAUGUAGUACAUUUGGCUUGUAACGUACACCGUAAAUAAAUA